UACGUAGGGUGCGAGCGUUGUCCGGAAUUACUGGGCGUAAAGAGCUCGUCGGUGGUUUGUCGCGUUGUUCGUGAAAACUCACAGCUUAACUGUGGGCGUGCGGGCGAUACGGGCAGACUGGAGUACUGCAGGGGAGACUGGAAUUCCUGGUGUAGCGGUGGAAUGCGCAGAUAUCAGGAGGAACACCGGUGGCGAAGGCGGGUCUCUGGGCAGUAACUGACGCUGAGACGCGAAAGCGUGGGGAGCGAACAGG
rnacentral:rRNA from 1 species